UACGAAGGGGGCUAGCGUUGUUCGGAAUCACUGGGCGUAAAGCGCACGCAGGCGGAUUGUUAAGUCAGGGGUGAAAUCCCGAGGCUCAACCUCGGAACUGCCUUUGAUACUGGCAAUCUUCGAGUCCGGGAGAGGUGAGUGGAACUCCGAGUGUAGAGGUGAAAUUCGUAGAUAUUCGGAAGAACACCAGUGGCGAAGGCGGCUCACUGGCCCGGUACUGACGCUCAUGUGCGAAAGCGUGGGGAGCAAACAGG
rnacentral:rRNA from 1 species